AGCCGUCCUGUAGUGGUAGACACAAGUUCAGAGCUCCACUUCUCCCCUCUUUAAUUAGGCUGGGGAGAGCCGCGGAGGCGCCUGGUUGAGGCGCAAGCGAGGCGGCCGGGCCGAGCGAAGAGCCACCCUGACCUGGUGAAAAUUAGAAAUACUGCAAUGCAAAGAGAACUGCAGCACCUCUUGAAAGGGAAUUGCCAGAAUUUAAUUGCAUCCUCCUCUUCUUAAACAAGUUUAAAAUAGGCUUUCAUACCUAGAGGCGAUUUUUUGGUUAUUGAGGAAGUGUAUUUGCCUAGAAAAAGCCUUUGUGCUUUUACUCAUCAGGCCCUCAUGAUUGCAGGGUGGAUCUUCCUCCUGGAGUGGCGGUCCUCAUGGACAAAUCCCCCAGCCCAGAACGGUCCCCUGUGCUUUCCCCAUGCCCUUGGCUCCCAGUGGCACUGGCACACCAGGACGGUGUCCCGGGGCUCUGCAGAGGGGGCUCUGGCCCCAGCACAUCCUGCUCCCCAGAAGGCAAGCUGGUGACUGCAGGGAACAGAAACAGCUGUCCAAAACUGCCAGCUCUGCCAGGCUGAUGGCAAAGGAAUUGCUUCAAACAAGGGAAAUUGAUAUGUUGAUAUGUUGCAUUUUUAAAAUGGCCUGUGAUGUUACAUGAUAAGCUGUUUUAGGGCUUGUAGGUCAUUAGCUCAGCGCAUCUGAAAAAAUAAUAUCUGAAGACAGACUUCUAAAGGAUUCACUUUAAAUAGCUUAUUCUGUGAGAAUGAAAAAACAUCAAACCAAAACUAUUGCUGAACACUCCUGUUUCUUUCGCACUGCAGAAGUGUCAGUGUGCAAGAUGGGAAAUCAUGCCCACUGGGACAGUAGAUAUUUUGAAUCUGUGUUUUUUUGCAAGAUGGAAGAAAACAAAGCAGCUGCCCACAAGGUUUCAUCUUGCUCUGAGUCCCAUGGCAACUCCACCAGUGAAGAGGGGAGAUUUAUUUGGCCCAUUGCUUAGCAGUACCUUGCAAAGUAUACAUGGAGGUAUCAGUCAUCUUCUUGGUCUAAAUACUAAUGAAAUUUAGCCACCUUUUGGAUGGCCCACCUUAUAUAUUUUUUCACUUUCUUUCUUCUUUUUCCUUCUAAAUUUAAAAGGAACUUUGAUUUUUUUUAGUGUUUACAUUCAAUAUUUAUCUCCAUUAAGAUGGUAUUGAUAUAAUUUUGCGUGCAUGUUGUUCUAAAGUCACUGAAAACAGUGGUAAAGAGCACUGAAGAACAUUGUUUGCCAUGAAUCUGAAAAUUUAUAAACAUUAAUAUAUUUGUUUAAUAUAAGAAAAUGAAUAGGCAGGACACAUUUUGUUGCACAGUUCUGAAAUUUGUCUCUUUGUCUAAUGCCAAUGUAAAAAAUAAAAGGGUUUUAAGCUAUGCAAAGUUUAAGCUA